rnacentral:rRNA from 1 species
CUUAUAACAAUGGCUUUAGUGGUGGACUGGUGAGUAACACGUGAGCAACCUGCCUAUCAGAGGGGAAUAACAGUGAGAAAUCAUUGCUAAUACCGCAUAUGCCAUAAAUAUCACAUGAUGAAAGUGGGAAAGGAGUAAUCCGCUGAUAGAUGGGCUCGCGUCUGAUUAGAUAGUUGGUGGGGUAACGGCCUACCAAGUCGACGAUCAGUAGCCGGACUGAGAGGUUGAACGGCCACAUUGGGACUGAGAUACGGCCCAGACUCCUACGGGAGGCAGCAGUCGGGAAUAUUGCGCAAUGGAGGAAACUCUGACGCAGUGACGCCGNGUAUAGGAAGAAGGUUUUCGGAUUGUAAACUAUUGUCGUUAGGGAAGAUACAAGACAGUACCUAAGGAGGAAGCUCCGGCUAACUACGUGCCAGCAGCCGCGGUAAUACGUAGGGGAGCAAGCGUUAUCCGGAUUUAUUGGGUGUAAAGGGUGCGUAGACGGGAAAAGCAAGU